AGUCGAAACGGCAGGAAGAGUGCUUGCACUUUUCCCUAGAGUGGCGGACUGGUGAGUAACACGUGGGUGACAUACCCUUGAGUUGGGGAUAGCUACUAGAAAUAGUAGAUAAUACCGAAUACGACCCCUUUUGUUAGAGGAGAGGGAGGAAAGGAGCUAAGGCUUCGCUCGAGGAAUGGCCCGCGGCCCAUUAGCUAGUUGGUGUGGUAAUGGCAUACCAAGGCAAUGAUGGGUAUCCGGCCUGAGAGGGUGAACGGACACAUUGGGACUGAGAUACGGCCCAGACUCCUACGGGAGGCAGCAGUUAAGAAUAUUCCGCAAUGGACGAAAGUCUGACGGAGCGACACCGCGUGGAUGAAGAAGGUGGAAACAUUGUAAAAUCCUUUUAAGCUUGAAGAAUAAGUGUGGUAGGGAAUGACCACAUGGUGACGGUAAAGCUAGAAUAAGCAACGGCUAAUUACGUGCCAGCAGCCGCGGUAACACGUAAGUUGCGAGCGUUGUUCGGAAUUAUUGGGCGUAAAGGGCAUGUAGGCGGAUUGGCAAGCUUGGUGUGAAAGGUCAGGGCUUAACCCUGGCACUGCAUUGAGAACUGCUAGUCUAGAAUUACUGAGGGGUAACUAGAAUUCC
rnacentral:rRNA from 1 species